rnacentral:rRNA from 1 species
UUCCGGUUGAUCCUGCCGGAGGCUACUGCUAUCGGGGUUCGAUUAAGCCAUGCAAGUUAAAUGUUCUUCGUGAACAUAGCGAACUGCUCAGUAACACGUGGAUAACCUACCCUUAGGACCGGAAUAACCCCGGGAAACUGGGGAUAAUACCGGAUAAGCCAUAGGCGCUGGAAUGCCCUAUGGUUCAAAGCUCCGGCGCCUAAGGAUGGAUCUGCGGUCUAUCAGGUUGUAGUGGGUGUAACGUACCUACUAGCCGACGACGGAUACGGGUUGUGAGAGCAAGAGCCCGGAGAUGGAUUCUGAGACACGAAUCCAGGCCCUACGGGGUGCAGCAGGCGCGAACACUUUACAAUGCGGGAAACCGCGAUAAGGGAACCCCGAGUGCCAGCAUCAAAUGUUGGCUGUCCGGAUGAUUAAAAAUCAUUUGUUAGCAAGGGCCGGGCAAGACCGGUGCCAGCCGCCGCGGUAACACCGGCGGCCCGAGUGGUAGCCGUUUUUAUUGGGUCUAAAGGGUCCGUAGCCGGCCUGAUCAGUCCUUUGGGAAAUCUGGCAGCUUAACUGUCAGGCUUCUAAGGGAUACUGUCAGGCUUGGGACCGGAAGAGGUAAGGGGUACUCCAGGGGUAGGAGUGAAAUCUUGUAAUCCCUGGGGGACCAUCUGUGGCGAAGGCGCCUUACCAGAACGGGUCCGACGGUGAGGGACGAAAGCUAGGGGAGCAAACCGGAUUAGAUACCCGGGUAGUCCUAGCUGUAAACGAUGCUCGCUAGGUGUCAGACACGGUGCGACCGUGUUUGGUGCCGCAGGGAAGCCGCUAAGCGAGCCACCUGGGAAGUACGGUCGCAAGGCUGAAACUUAAAGGAAUUGGCGGGGGAGCACUA